AUUGAACGCUAGCGGGAUGCUUUACACAUGGAAGUCGAACGAGUGGCGGACGGGUGAGUAAUAUAUCGGAACGUGCCCAGUAGCGGGGGAUAACUACUCGAAAGAGUGGCUAAUACCGCAUACUAUUUGAGCGGCCGAUAUCGGAUUAGCUAGUUGGUGGGGUAAAGGCUCACCAAGGCAACGAUCCGUAGCUGGUCUGAGAGGAGGACCAGCCACACUGGGACUGAGACACGGCCCAGACUCCUACGGGAGGCAGCAGUGGGGAAUGUUGGACAAUGGGCGCAAGCCUGAUACAGCCAUCCCGCGUGUAUGAGAAGGCCUUCGGGUUGUAAAGUACUUUUGGCAGAGAAGCGGUAUCUGCAGAAUAAGCACCUGCUAACUACGUGCCAGCCGCCGCGGUAAUUC
rnacentral:rRNA from 1 species